CCCAUCGAUGAUGAUGAGCUGAUCUCCUACAUCACCUCCGGCCUCGACAUGGAGUACCAACCUCUCGUCUCCGCCAACGACGCCCGCACCGAGCCCAUCAGCAUCGACGAUCUCUACGCCCAGAUGAGUAACUUCGAUC
rfam:Triticum aestivum genome assembly, contig: Triticum_aestivum_CS42_TGACv1_scaffold_622833_7DS